CGUAGAGAUCCCGUCUGCCGCUUUCUUAAACCAAAAUCGAAACCAAGUCUCCUCCCCCCUCCCAAUCCGAGGGAAGAGGCAAUAAGUCCAGAUCUUCAAUCUUCACAAGGUAAACAUUAGUCAAGAAUAUGUCAAUAUCUACUAUGAUAAAACAUACCCUUAUUUGAAUCAGGAUAAAUAGUACUAGAGCACGUAAGCUUGGAACUUGAACCAUUCUCCAACCCACAGACUUUACCCGGAACUGCUUCACAAAAAUAACUAGUAGGCACAUUCCAUGCCAACUCAAAACCGUAAGUAUCAAGACUGUCCCACUGAAAUGGAUUUUCCAGUGGAACCAAAAUUGUGGAAAUCACAGAACAAAGAGAUGAAGGAUCCGGAUCAAUCUGACCAUGUAAAUAAGUGGAUAGGAUGUUUCCACGUUGGACGAGCAAUUCAGGAAGGUGAAGUUUUUAAGGGCAGGAGCGUAUGAAAAUGGUGAACUUACAAGACUGAAGUCAUUGUCCAUGACCCGCCUAGUGAAGCACUUGUCCGGGUCGGUGAUCAAUACCUACCUUCUAGUUAAUGUAGUUGAUGUCUUGGACGAAGAAGUGCCCGUAAGAUGAUGGGAGAGUGAGAAUGGUUUGCCUUUGGUUUGCACCGCUGCACAUACCCACAAAGUUUUUUCGUCGUCUUGGGUUUGGGAUGGAGUAGCCUCCCUCCCCUUAUACGAAAUUCUGGAGUCCCUCCUUUUUGGAAUGCGCACAAUUCUACAACAAGGCUAGGGAGGGUCGGAAGACCUCCAGAUAUUUGUAUAGGAAAUUUUGUUUUUUUUUUGUUUUUUUGGGUUUUGGAUUAAAUAAGAUAAAGUUAAAAUCAUGACAACUAUUGCUAUUGAAAAGAUAAG